rnacentral:lncRNA from 1 species
CUUUAAAAAAAACAUGAUUUUUUGGCAAUAAAGAAUAACUAUAAACCCAGUAAAAACAGACAGACAAACAAACCCGAUUGUUACAUCAUCAGACAAACAAACAAACCCGAUUGUUACAUCAUCAGACAGACAAAUAAACCCGAUUGUUACAUCAUCAGACAAACAAACCCGAUUAUUACAUCAUCAGACAUGCAAACAAACCCGAUUGUUACAUCAUUAGACAGACAAACAAACCCAAUUGUUACAUCAUCAGACAGACAAACAAACCUGAUUGUUACAUCAUCAGACAAGCAAACAAACCCGAUUGUUACAUCAUCAGACAGACAAACAAACCUGAUUGUUACAUCAUCAGACAGACAAACAAACCAACUUUUUUAUAUCGUAUACUCAUCAGACAAACAAACAAACCAGCUUUUUACAUAAUAUACUCAUCAGACAGACAGACAAACACAAUUAUUACAUCUUAUACUCACAAGACAGAAACACAAA